AUGCACUACGUGCACGCGGCCAUCACGAAGUCGAUGCGGCUCUACCCGCCGGUGCCGGUGAACUUUCUGCGGGCGGAGGCCGCCGACGUCCUGCCGGACGGCACGGCGGUGGGGGCAGGUUGGUUCGUGGCGUACAACUCGUACGCAAUGGGGAGGAUGGAGUCCGUGUGGGGAGAGGACGCGCGGGCGUACCGACCGGAGCGGUGGCUGGACCCGGCGGAGGGGACGUUCCAGCCGGACAGCCCGUUCCGCUACAUAGCGUUCCACGCGGGACCGAGGAUUUGCCUCGGGAAGGAGAUGGCCUACAUCCUGAUGAAGUCCAUCGUGGCAUGCGUGCUGGAAGAGUUCGAGCUCGCAGUGGACGGCGCAUACCGGCCGCGGCAGGUGACCUCGCUGACGUUGCGGAUGGCGGACGGGCUCCCGGUGACGGUGAAGGCUAGAGUGAAUUGA
rnacentral:rRNA from 1 species